UACGAAGGGAGCUAGCGUUGUUCGGAAUCACUGGGCGUAAAGCGCACGUAGGCGGAUGUGUCAGUCAGGGGUGAAAUCCCGGAGCUCAACUUCGGAACUGCCUUUGAUACAGCACAUCUGGAGUCCGGAAGAGGUGGGUGGAAUUCCUAGUGUAGAGGUGAAAUUCGUAGAUAUUAGGAAGAACACCAGUGGCGAAGGCGGCGCACUGGCCCGGUACUGACGCUGAGGCGCGAAAGCGUGGGGAGCAAACAGG
rnacentral:rRNA from 1 species